rnacentral:rRNA from 1 species
UACGUAGGGCGCAAGCGUUGUCCGGAAUUAUUGGGCGUAAAGAGCUCGUAGGCGGUUUGUCGCGUCUGCCGUGAAAACCCGAGGCUUAACCUCGUGGCUUGCGGUGGAUACGGGCAGGCUUGAGUUCGGUAGGGGAGACUGGAAUUCCUGGUGUAGCGGUGAAAUGCGCAGAUAUCAGGAGGAACACCGGUGGCGAAGGCGGGUCUCUGGGCCGAUACUGACGCUGAGGAGCGAAAGCGUGGGGAGCGAACAGG